rnacentral:rRNA from 1 species
CGGGUACGUUAAUAGCGUAUUCGUUUGACGUUAGCGACAGAAGAAAGCACCGGCUAACUCCGUGCCAGCAGCCGCGGUAAUACGGAGGGUGCGAGCGUUAAUCGGAAUUACUGGGCGUAAAGCGCAUGCAGGUGGUUUGUUAAGUCAGAUGUGAAAGACCCGGGGCGUCAACCUCGGAAUUGCAUUUGUAAACUAGGCAGACUAGAGUACUGUAGAGGGGGGUAGGAAUUUCAGGUGUAGCGGUGAAAUGCGUAGAGAUCUGAAGGAAUACCGGUGGCGAAGGCGGCCCCCUCGGACAGAUACUGACACUCAGAUGCGAAAGCGUGGGGAGCAAACAGGAUUAGAUACCCUGGUAG